UAUCUACCUAUGACCUGCAAACUCCCUGCUUCAAGUUGUCCCACCUCACUGGAUUGAACCAAUGUACAUCUUACACAUAUUGAUUGAUGUUUCACGUCUCCCUACAAUGUAUAAAAAAAACUGUGCCCCAACCACCUUGGGCACAUGUCAUCAGAACCUCCGAGGCUGUGUCACAGAUGCAGAAACUGAGGCUCCAAGAGCAGAAGUGACACCGAAGUCACCUAGCCCCAUCCCGGCUUAAGGAGGUUCCUUAGUAAUAUGUCGUUGAAUAAAUGAAUACAUGAGUGAAUGAAGAGAGGACUGAAGAAGCCACACAUGAGCCUAAAUGCAAGGAAAAAGAUGGACAGUGCUACCACUAACAGCCAUGAAAAAGAACAGUUUCUCCCCCUCCCCCUCCCCCUCUCCCGUCUCCCUCUCUUUCCACGGUCUCCCUCUCAUGCUGAGCCGAAGCUGGACUGUACUGCUGCCAUCUCGGCUCACUGCAACCUCCCUGCCUGAUUCUCCUGGCUCAGCCUGCCGAGUGCCUGCAAUUGCAAGCUCGCGCCUCCACGCCUGACUGGUUUUGGUGGAGACGGGGUUUCGCUGUGUUGGCCGGGCCGGUCUCCAGCCCCUGACCGCAAGUGAUCCGCCAGCCUUGGCCUCCCGAGGUGCCGGGAU
rnacentral:lncRNA from 1 species